CGCCCUUAGAGUUUGAUCAUGGCUCAGAUUGAACGCUGGCGGCAGGCCUAACACAUGCAAGUCGGACGGUAAGAGAGCUUGCUCUCGACGAGUGGCGGACGGGUGAGUAAUGUCUGGGAAACUGCCCGACGGAGGGGGAUAACUACUGGAAACGGUAGCUAAUACCGCAUAACGUCGCAAGACCAAAGUGGUUCGUCACACCAUCGGAUGUGCCCAGAUGGGAUUAGCUAGUAGGUGGGGUAACGGCUCACCUAGGCGACGAUCCCUAGCUGGUCUGAGAGGAUGACCAGCCACACUGGAACUGAGACACGGUCCAGACUCCUACGGGAGGCAGCAGUGGGGAAUAUUGCACAAUGGGCGCAAGCCUGAUGCAGCCAUGCCGCGUGUAUGAAGAAGGCCUUCGGGUUGUAAAGUACUUUCAGCGGGGAGGAAGGGGGGCGAAUAAUUUCGGUUCUUGACGUUACCCGCAGAAGAAGCACCGGCUAACUCCGUG
rnacentral:rRNA from 1 species